CUACUGAAGAUUCUAGAGAUUUGCGCCGGUAAGGGAAUCCACGAGGUUAGCCCCGAUCAGGGAACCCCCGGUCAGAGGGAAUUCCAUAACCUCGCGGAGGAGUGCAGGCACAACAAGAACCUUACCUGCAAACACCGGG